CAAGGGAUUUUCCGCAAUGGGCGCAAGCCUGACGGAGCAACGCCGCGUGCGGGAUGACGCCUUUCGGGGUGUAAACCGCUGUUCGUGGGGACGAAGCACUGACGGUACCCACGGAGGAAGGCCCGGCUAACUACGUGCCAGCAGCCGCGGUAAUACGUAGGGGUCGAGCGUUGUCCGGAGUUACUGGGCGUAAAGCGCGUGCAGGUGGCUCAUCACGCCCGGCGUGAAAGCCCCCGGCUUAACCGGGGAGGGUCGUCGGGGACGGGUGAGCUUGAGGGUCGCAGGGGCUGGUGGAAUUCCCGGUGUAGUGGUGAAAUGCGUAGAGAUCGGGAGGAACACCCGUGGCGAAGGCGGCCAGCUGGGCGAGCCCUGACACUGAGACGCGAAGGCGUGGGGAGCGAACGGGAUUAGAUACCCCGGUAGUCCACGCAGUAAACGAUGCCGACUAGGCGUGGGGGGACUUGACCCCUUCCGUGCCGAAGCUAACGCAGAAGUCGGCCGC
rnacentral:rRNA from 1 species